UGAGCCAGAGGCAUUAAUUGGUAUCCAGAAUUGGGCUACAGUAGUUUUCUCUCCCUUGUUUACUGAUGAAAACCAGAGUUUAGAUGAUAGUGGAAUAAUUGGACAUUUUUCAUGGAUUACUGGGCUUGUAUAUCAAGCUGAAGGUCAGCAUGAAAAAGCUGCGGCUCACUUUAUUCAUUUGUUACAGACUGAAAACUCACUCACUUCUAUGUGUUCUGAUGGUGUACAGUUUACCAUUGCACGUAUUAUUGAGAGUUACUCGGCAGUUUCUGAUUGGAAGGCUCUGGAAUCCUGGCUGUUGGAAUUGCAAAUGCUCCGUGCUAAGCAUGCUGGAAAAAGUUUUUCUGGUGCUCUAACAACUGCUGGCAAUGAAGUAAAUUCCAUUCAAGCCUUGGCACGCUUUGAUGAGGGUGAAUUUCAGGCAGCAUGGGCUUGUCUUGAUUUGACCCCUAAAAGUAGCAGCGAACUCACUCUGGAUCCCAAGUUGGCCUUGCAAAGGAGUGAACAAAUGCUGUUGCAAGCUAUGCUUCAUCAAGUUGAGGGAAGAAUAGAGAGGGUAACAGAGGAAUUGCAGAAGGCCAAGGGGAUGCUGAUGGAACCAUUGUCUGUCUUGCCUUUGGAUGGACUUGUAGAGGCAGCAUCACAUGUCAACCAGUUAUACUGCAUCUCUGCAUUUGAAGAAUGUUACAACCUCAAUAUAAGCCAAGACAAGCAUUUUCCAUCGCUAUUAAGCUCUCAUAUGCAAGCGAUGAAGUCUCCGAUUAUCAAAGUUCGCCAAGAUUGUAGUAUAUGGUUGAAGGUCCUACGAAUAUGUCAAACGGCUUACCCCACAUCACCUAUGACUCUCAAACUUUGCAGGAAUUUGAUGAGCUUAGCUCGUAAGCAAAAAAACUUCCGUUUGGCAAAUCGUCUUGACAAUUAUCUCAAAGAACAUCUUUCUAGUUNUGAAGGUCCUACAAAUAUGUCAAACGGCUUACCCCACAUCACCUAUGACUCUCAAACUUUGCAGGAAUUUGAUGAGCUUAGCUCGUAAGCAAAAAAACUUCCGUUUGGCAAAUCGUCUUGACAAUUAUCUCAAAGAACAUCUUUCUAGUUCCCUGAUGGAAGUACCCGUGACAAUAUAAUUCUUAGCUUGGAGUAUGAGAGAGUACUGUUGAUGCAUGCUGAAGACAAAUUUGAAGAUGCUUUAACCAGUCUUUGGUCAUAUAUCCGUUCUUCCAUGAUUUCAUCUUCAUUUGUAGCGUCUGACGCCAUUGAUAGAGUUCUGAAGGCAAAGGCAUGCCUGAAACUAUCGAAUUGGUUGCAAGAAGAUUAUUCAAAUUCAGGGAUGAAAGACAUAGUCCUCAAAAUAAGAUGUGAUUUCAGCACCUCACCCGGCAGAGAGGAAUCUAGCUUUAUUCUUGAUAAUCUGGCUUCUAAGGAGAAUGUGAAGGCUACUAUUGAGGAACUGGUGGGCACUGCAACAAAGUUGUCGUCCCAACUCUGUCCCACUUUAGGGAAAUCUUGGAUUUCAUAUGCUUCUUGGUGUUAUAAUCAAGCUAGAUCAUCAUUGCGUGCCCCUUGUGAAGCUACCCUUUUUUCUUGCUCAUUUUCUGCUGUUCUUGAUUCUGAAAUCCAACCAACAAGAUUUAAGCUAACUGAGGAAGAAGUUCUGAAAGUGAAAGACAUUAUCUCAAAGCUUCUCCAGAGCAAAUAUUGUGGCAAAGUGUUGAAUGAAGAUGGAGAUUCUGAUGUUUGCUGCUCUGAAUCUUCUGAAAGCAUGCAAAGUGAUGGCAUUGCUAGCUCUCUGUUGCAGGAGGUAGUAGAUACUAUCGAAGCUGAAGCUGGAGCCCCUGGAGUAGAAGAUUAUAAUGGCGAAUUCUUUCCCAAUACAUUGACAUCUAAGUUGCAGCAAUGUUUAUUAAAAGCAAAUGUUGUUCUAGAAGAAGCUACUGUCAUAUCCUUAGUUGGUGAUUUAGUUAAUAUCUGGUGGUCUUUGCGGCGUAGAAGGGUCUCUCUCUUUGGCCAUGCUGCUCAAGCUUUUGUGAAUUUUCUUUCAUAUGCAUCUUCCAGAUCUUUAGAUGGCCAAUUAACCGGCUGUAGUGAGGAGUCAAAAUAUAAGUCUGUGAACUAUACACUUAGAUCCACACUUUAUGUGUUGCAUAUUCUUCUCAAUUAUGGGGUUGAGCUGAAAGACACACUUGAACCUGCACUUUCAGCAGUUCCUUUGCUACCAUGGCAGGU
rnacentral:lncRNA from 1 species